rnacentral:tRNA from 1 species
CGGUGAGUAGCGCAGCUUGGUAGCGCAACUGGUUUGGGACCAGUGGGUCGGAGGUUCAAAUCCUCCCUCGCCGA